GCUUCACAUAGUAAGUUUGAAACUGUUUUUAUAACACUUUUUCCUCCCUCAGUGUUAUUUAUUGCAAAUCAGUUCAAAAAUAAAUUGAAUUAAUUUUUUGAAAAAUUCAUAUACUGCCAGGACCGUGAUAAAUUUAAUUUGUAAUUGUAAUAAAAUGAGAUAAAUUAAUUCAGAAAACAAAGAAGCUGAAAAGGAGAGAGGCAAAUUAUGAGAAUCAAGAGGGAAAAUAAAUAUCAUUAAGUAGCACUGUGCUGCAUGUUACUUUGUUUCCAACAAUAUAAAUCCCAAAAUGAAAACGAGUUACUUGGGAGCAGGGGACUAUAUUUGUAUAAGUAUCCCGAGGAGGAUUUGACUGCAAUAAACAAGGUUUAAAACAUGUUGAGCCUUGGGGAUUAUAGGUGAAAGAUCACGUGUUUGGUCUUUUGUCUUGCGAUAUCCCGCAAGGAAUUGACUGCCAGCCUCCAUUUGAUAUAGAUGCAGAAUGUGGACCACCAGCCAUCGAACGCGUUAGACAGAAUGGCUCAUCAGCAUCGUUCGAGGGAGUGAUAGAAAGUCAAUAAACAGCAUAAUCAGAAGAACGAUUGCUGUUCAGCUCCUCCUAUAUCUGGCAUCUCCUAAUUUCCAAAAAGUAGGGAUAAUCCAGUAAAUAAGGUCCAAACUUCAUUACCACCUGCGCUGGCAGAGAAGACCAAAAGAGAGAUGCAAGAAAGAGGAGAAUCACCAUUAAUUUCUCCUCCUGUGACUUUACAACUAUCACCCAUUUCCAUCAAGACAAAUGAAGGAACUGCAACUUGGUCUUCUGACUAAAGGAAGGGUAACUCCCAUACAAAAGGAAUCAAGUUCCUGAUGGGGAGUGAGCACUUUUUGGAGAAGAAACUCCUCUCAAAAUCUCACACUGACAGUCACUCACUUAUAAAAGGCUUGCGCAAGAUAAUAGGACACAUUAAUAAUAUCACAGUUUUGUCUACUAGUAAUUAUUUCUAUAGCCUCCUGUACGUAAGGGUGGGCUGGGGUUAUAAGUGGUUUCAAAAUCCUCGCUUGGCUCCAGUCAGUGUAAAGACUUAGAACUGUGAACUAUUGGUGUCAUCCAAUAGUGUUUGUCAAAGUCAAGACCCAUCAAGAAUCUUUGUACAUUUGAGGUAUUUAUCCUCUUGAUUUGGGUUAUGAUGUAAUUAUCUCUCUCUCUCUCUCUUUCAAAUAAAGAUCCGAAGUGUCAGCCAUACAAGUUGCUUAUCAUUGUGUUCCUGAGCACUUCUCCAUCCUUACCCACAAAUACAACUCACAUAUCAUUGCCCGCUAGGCAAACCCAAUCUGACACCAGUCAGUAUUGUUCACACUGAUACUGACUGGUGUCAGAUGUUGACAAUAUCCAUGCAAGGCUAAGGCCUGUGAAAUUAUAUUGCCCACUGGCAUCCCACAAUACUAAUUAAUUUGUUUAGAUAUUCAGUGUCUACUUCCAAAAUACACUAACAAGGGGAGGUCGCAGCUAUCGGGUCCGGGAUUUGGACAGUUUUUAUAUGUGUUGGUCUACAGUCGAAAUAAGGAGGCGCGUGUUCGAGCUUUCCUUCGAGUGCGCCUUGGGGCAUGCAGGAUCGGUUUCAGAAGGUCUUGGGUUUUUGAUGUCACUGCUGUAUACUAUUAA
rnacentral:lncRNA from 1 species